AUGUCAUCUCUUACCAUGCUCCUGAGUUGGACUAUUUGUAACGAGCGCAAUGCCCGCGUCUUCCAUCACAAAAGUGCACCAACGUCAGUCUUGCUCAAAUACAUCAAGACCGAGGCCAAGCUUUGGAUUGUCGCGGGUGCGAAAAAAAUGGGAACCAUUGUAGCGGGAGAGUGA
rnacentral:rRNA from 1 species